GACGAACGCUGGCGGCGUGCUUAACACAUGCAAGUCGAACGGAAAGGCCCUGCUUUUGUGGGGUGCUCGAGUGGCGAACGGGUGAGUAACACGUGAGUAACCUGCCCUUGACUUUGGGAUAACUUCAGGAAACUGGGGCUAAUACCGGAUAGGAGCUCCUGCUGCAUGGUGGGGGUUGGAAAGUUUCGGCGGUUGGGGAUGGACUCGCGGCUUAUCAGCUUGUUGGUGGGGUAGUGGCUUACCAAGGCUUUGACGGGUAGCCGGCCUGAGAGGGUGACCGGCCACGUUGGGACUGAGAUGCGGCCCAGACUCCUACGGGAGGCAGCAGUGGGGAAUAUUGAACAAUGGGCGGAAGCCUGAUGCAGCAACGCCGCGUGCGGGAUGACGGCCUUCGGGUUGUAGGCCGCUUUCGCCUGUGACGAAGCGUGAGUGACGGUAAUGGAUAAAGAAGCACCGGCUAACUACGUG
rnacentral:rRNA from 1 species